CGAUGGUUCAAUGAGAGCGAUAAAGAUAAUUCACAUUCUGAGAAUUCUCCUUCUUCUUCUUCUCCCUCCUUGCGUUCUUCGUGUUCCCGCCAGCGAGAUUGAAAUAUGAAGGAAUGGGGCAUUGUCCCUCGAUUGUCCAUUUUCAAAUUCAAGUGAAGCUCAGCAUCAUCAUCAUCAUCAUCAUCAACUUCUUCUUCAUCCUCACAGGCCGAAACACUCAUCAUCCUCUGGUCUGCCCUUCCUCUGCUUCAAAGAGGACAAUUUGUAUACAGACAAAACUGUAUGAUUGCUUUUCCAAACCACAUUAAAUGAUUUAUCAGAAGAAAAAAAUAUCAUAUC